CGCAUCUGUGCAUGCAGCAUAUCAAUAAGCGGAGGAAAAGAGGGCUAUUACCUACGCUUAGGAUGUUGUACACACGCGCGUGCUCGAUGAUAGUCUAUACAUGACUCUGUGCAUAUCAAUAAGCGGAGGAAAAGAAACUAACAAGGAUUCCCUUAGUAACGGCGAGUGAAGCGGGAAGAGCUCAAAUUUGAAAUCUUCAAGGUUUUACCUUGACGAAUUGUAGUUUAAAGAAGUGUUUUCUGUUGAAGUUUUGGUAAAAGUUCUUUGGAAUAGGACAUCAUAGAGGGUGAGAAUCCCGUAUUUGACCAUUAUUUUCAGCUGUGUGAUACACUUUCAGAGAGUCGGAUUGUUUGGGAAUGCAGUCCAAAAUGGGUGGUAAAUUUCAUCUAAAGCUAAAUAUUGGCGAGAGACCGAUAGCGAACAAGUACCGUGAGGGAAAGAUGAAAAGAACUUUGAAAAGAGAGUUAAACAGUACGUGAAAUUGUCAGAAGGGAAGCGUUUGACACCAGUGUUGUUUUCUCGAAAAUCAAUUGAAAAGAGUUAGAUUUUGUUGUGUAUUGACCUUAACAGCUUGCAUUUCAAUUUUCUUGCUUUUUUUAAUGCACUUUUCGUUUAACAAGUCAACAUCAGUUCCUUUUGUUGUAAAAAGGUCAUUGGAAGGUGGCUUUCUUUUCGGAGAAAGUGUUUAUAGCCCUUUGACUCCUGCAAUCGGAGAGACUGAGGUCUGCAGCGUAGAUCCUUCGGGGUUAGAUACAUUUGUGCUAAGUUAUAGCUUUUUAUAGACAACUUGUUGACUAUGAUUAGUCUUGUAGCUUACUCGCUUAUGCUAUUUUACCUACGCUUAGGAUGUUGACACACGCGCGUGCUCG
rnacentral:rRNA from 1 species